rnacentral:tRNA from 1 species
GGGGAGGUGCCGGAGUGGUUGAUCGGAGCCGCCUGCUAAGCGGUUGAGGGGUCUAAUAACUCCUCCCAGGGUUCGAAUCCCUGCCUCCCCG